rnacentral:rRNA from 1 species
AUUGAACGCUGGCGGCAUGCCUAACACAUGCAAGUCGAACGAGUGGCGGACGGGUGAGUAAUGUCUGGGAAACUGCCUGAUGGAGGGGGAUAACUACUGGAAACGGUAGCUAAUACCGCAUACCCUCUGAUUUGCCCAGAUGGGAUUAGCUAGUAGGGGGGGUAAUGGCUCACCUAGGCGACGAUCCCUAGCUGGUCUGAGAGGAUGACCAGCCACACUGGAACUGAGACACGGUCCAGAGUCCUACGGGAGGCAGCAGGGGGGAAUAUUGCACAAUGGGCGCAAGCCUGAUGCAGCCAUGCCGCGUGUAUGAAGAAGGCCUUCGGGUUGUAAAGUACGUUCAGCGGGGAGGCGGUACCCGCAGAAGAAGCACCGGCUAACUCCGUGCCAGCAGCCGCGGUAAUUC